CCUACGGGAGGCUGCAGUGGGGAAUAUUGCGCAAUGGGCGAAAGCCUGACGCAGCGACGCCGCGUGAGGGAUGAAGGUCUUCGGAUCGUAAACCUCUGUCAGCAGGGAAGAAAGGCCACUGUGCUAAUCAGCAGUGAAUUGACGGUACCUGCAAAGGAAGCACCGGCUAACUCCGUGCCAGCAGCCGCGGUAAUACGGAGGGUGCGAGCGUUAAUCGGAGUUACUGGGCGUAAAGCGCACGUAGGCGGUGUUGCAAGUCAAGGGUGAAAGGCGAGGGCUCAACGUGGGAAAGGCAUGUGAAACUGGAAAACUGGAGUGGGGGAGAGGAUAGGGGAAUUCCAGGUGUAGGAGUGAAAUGCGUAGAUAUCUGGAGGAAGAGCGGUGGCGAAGGCGGCUAUCUGGCACGUAACUGACGCUGAGGAGCGAAAGCGUGGGUAGCAAACAGGAUUAGAUACCCCAGUAGUC
rnacentral:rRNA from 1 species